rnacentral:rRNA from 1 species
CAGUAGCCACGGGAAUGCGUAGGUGGCAAGUGUUGUCCGGAAUUAUUGGGCGUAAAGGGCUCGCAGGCGGUUUCUUAAGUCUGAUGUGAAAGCCCCCGGCUCAACCGGGGAGGGUCAUUGGAAACUGGGAAACUUGAGUGCAGAAGAGGAGAGUGGAAUUCCACGUGUAGCGGUGAAAUGCGUAGAGAUGUGGAGGAACACCAGUGGCGAAGGCGACUCUCUGGUCUGUAACUGACGCUGAGGAGCGAAAGCGUGGGGAGCGAACAGGAUUAGAUACCCGUGUAGUCCCUGUCUCUUAUAC